rnacentral:RNase_P_RNA from 1 species
AAUACAAGCCAUUCUAUCGCCGUUCCGAUUUAUCGGGAAGGAGGAAAGUCCGGGCAACAUAGAGCAUCUCGCUUCCUAACGGGAAGGAAUUUAGGAAUGAAAACCUGAAUGACGGAAAGUGUUACAGAAAAUAAACCGCCCCGAUUUAUCGGAGUAAGGGUGAAAACGUGAGGUAAGAGCUCACGAUCUCGCUAAGUGAUUAGCGUUUUGGUAAACCCCGGGAGUUGAAAGACCAAAUAGGCUAACGCAUGUAGGGCUGCUCGUCCGAUGUUAGUGGGUAGGUCGUUAAAGCUAAGUGGCGACAUUUAGAUUAGAUUAAUGAUAGAAGUUCGAGCAAUCGAAAACAGAACCCGGCUUAUCGGCUUGUAU